AGACUCCUACGGGAGGCAGCAGUGAGGAAUAUUGGUCAAUGGGCGAGAGCCUGAACCAGCCAAGUAGCGUGCAGGAUGACGGCCCUAUGGGUUGUAAAACUGCUUUUAUAAGGGGAAUAAAGUGGGGCUCGUGAGCUCCUUUGCAUGUACCUUAUGAAUAAGGACCGGCUAAUUCCGUGC
rnacentral:rRNA from 1 species